UCGGACAUGUUGAUGACCUAGAACAAAUGAAUAUGCCUUAAAACGAUCUAUUUGUAUAUUCAGUAACAAGAAGAGCAUUUAAUUGGCUCUGAAGAUACAUCUGAUGGUAGCAGCAGCUUCUCUUAAAGAUCUGCAAAUGAUGAUCUGUUGUGGCUGCUGUGACCUUUAAGGUCUUGAACCUUUCAAGGCCACUGGCUACCUGCUGUCUUAUGUACUAAUAGGUUCCGAAACAGCACAUCAUUUGCUUUUAAAAAGACAAUUGUGGAAAAAAGGUUUCACUGUAAGUGACUCUUGACAUAAGCUCUUUUACAAAGAAUAUAUGUAUCAUGUUUUCAUAUUCUAGAAUCAGUUAUUCCUACUACAAUCGAAUAUUUACCUCUGCUUCAUUUUUUAUUGUGUUUACUUGGUUGAUCAAUUUACAGUAGGCUUGGAACAGAAGUAGCAACUGAAAAUGUAGUUUGUACAGCCUUCGACAGAGCUCCAGGCCCUAGGAGUAAAUAACACUGUGUUAAAUUCAGAUACCGUUUUCCAUGAGGUUUGAUUAGACAGUGUAUUUCCAAUAAAAAUAUUUAAGUAAUUAUGUUAAAA